rnacentral:rRNA from 1 species
AUUGAACGCUGGCGGCAGGCUUAACACAUGCAAGUCGAGCGGAGAUGAGGUGCUUGCACCUUAUCUUAGCGGCGGACGGGUGAGUAAUGCUUAGGAAUCUGCCUAUUAGUGGGGGACAACAUUCCGAAAGGAAUGCUAAUACCGCAUACGUCCUACGGGAGAAAGCAGGGGAUCUUCGGACCUUGCGCUAAUAGAUGAGCCUAAGUCGGAUUAGCUAGUUGGUGGGGUAAAGGCCUACCAAGGCGACGAUCUGUAGCGGGUCUGAGAGGAUGAUCCGCCACACUGGGACUGAGACACGGCCCAGACUCCUACGGGAGGCAGCAGUGGGGAAUAUUGGACAAUGGGGGGAACCCUGAUCCAGCCAUGCCGCGUGUGAAGAAGGCCUUUUGGUUGUAAAGCACUUUAAGCGAGGAGGAGGCUACCUAGAUUAAUACUCUGGGAUAGCGGACGUUACUCGCAGAAUAAGCACCGGCUAACUCUGUGCCAGCCGCCGCCGUAAGAC